AUACGGAGGAUGCGAGCGUUAUCCGGAUUUAUUGGGUUUAAAGGGUGCGUAGGCGGUCGGGUAAGCGUAGGGUGAAAGUCCUCUGCUCCACAGAGGAAGUGCCUUCCGAACUGUCCGACUGGAAUGCUCCUGCCGUGGGAGGCAUGUGUGGUGUAGCGGUGAAAUGCAUAGAGAUCCCACAGAACUCCGAUUGCGAAGGCAUCUCACGAAGGGGCUAUUGACGCUGAGGCACGAAAGCGUGGGGAUCAAACAGGAUUAGAUACCCUGGUAGUCCACGCAGUAAACGAUGAUGACUAACCGUCGGUCAAGACUGAUCGGUGGCCAAGCGAAAGCGAUAAGUCAUCCACCUGGGGAGUACGACCGCAAGGUUGAAACUUAAAGGAAUUGACGGGG
rnacentral:rRNA from 1 species